UACCGGUACAGAGUCAAUGUGGAGGCUAUAUACAGGGGUACCAGUACAGAGUCAAUGUGGAGGCUAUAUACAGGGGGUACCAGUACAGGGUCAAUGUGGAGGCUAUAUACAGGAGGUACCAGUACAGAGUCAAUGUGGAGGCUAUAUACAGGGGUACCGGUACAGAGUCAAUGUGGAGGCUAUAUACAGGGAGGUACCGGUACAGAGUCAAUGUGGAGACUAUAUACAGGGGGUACCGGUACAGAGUCAAUGUGGAGACUAUAUACAGGGGGUACCAGUACAGAGUCAAUGUGGAGGCUAUAUACAGGGGGUACCAGUACAGAGUCAAUGUGGAGGCUAUAUACAGGGGGUACCAGUACAGAGUCAAUGUGGAGGCUAUAUACAGGGGGUACCAGUACAGAGUCCAUGUGGAGGCUAUAUACAGGAGGUACCAGUACAGAGUCAAUGUGGAGACUAUAUACAGGGAGGUACCGGUACAGAGUCAAUGUGGAGGCUAUAUACAGGGAGGUACCGGUACAGAGUCAAUGUGGAGGCUAUAUACAGGGAGGUACCGGUACAGAGUCAAUGUGGAGACUAUAUACAGGGAGGUACCGGUACAGAGUCAAUGUGGAGACUAUAUACAGGGGGUACCGGUACAGAGUCAAUGUGGAGACUAUAUACAGGAGGUACCGGUACAGAGUCAAUGUGGAGACUAUAUACAGGGGGUACCGGUACAGAGUCAAUGUGGAGACUAUAUACAGGGAGGUACCGGUACAGAGUCAAUGUGGAGACUAUAUACAGGGAGGUACCGGUACAGAGUCAAUGUGGAGGCUAUAUACAGGGGGUACCAGUACAGAGUCAAUGUGGAGGCUAUAUACAGGGGUACCAGUACAGAGUCAAUGUGGAGACUAUAUACAGGGG
ensembl:lncRNA